rnacentral:rRNA from 1 species
UACGUAGGGCUCAAGCGUUGUCCGGAAUUAUUGGGCGUAAAGAGCUCGUAGGCGGCCUGUUGCGUCCGCUGUGAAAUCCCGGGGCUCAACCCCGGGCCUGCAGUGGAUACGGGCUGGCUAGAGGCAGGCAGGGGAGAACGGAAUUCCUGGUGUAGCGGUGAAAUGCGCAGAUAUCAGGAGGAACACCGGUGGCGAAGGCGGUUCUCUGGGCCUGUACUGACGCUGAGGAGCGAAAGCGUGGGGAGCAAACAGG